rnacentral:siRNA from 1 species
UACUCCAAGACUAGCCUCGGGAC